GGAGGAUCCAAGCGUUAUCCGGAAUCAUUGGGUUUAAAGGGUCCGUAGGCGGGUUUAUAAGUCAGUGGUGGAAGCCCAUCGCUCAACGAUGGAACGGCCAUUGAUACUGUAGAUCUUGAAUUAUUAGGAAGUAACUAGAAUAUGUAGUGUAGCGGUGAAAUGCUUAGAGAUUACAUGGAAUACCAAUUGCGAAGGCAGGUUACUACUAAUGGAUUGACGCUGAUGGACGAAAGCGUGGGUAGCGAACAGGAUUAGAUACCCUGGUAGUCCACGCCGUAAACGAUGGAUACUAGCUGUUCGGAGCAAUCUGAGUGGCUAAGCGAAAGUGAUAAGUAUCCCACCUGGGGAGUACGUUCGCAAGAAUG
rnacentral:rRNA from 1 species